rnacentral:sRNA from 1 species
CCCUUUACGCCACAGCAGUUACCAUCAGGAAAAGGGAGCGGGUCAGAAGGCAGCGCGGCGGCAAGCAGCGACUCUCCUUCGAGAAUUUCUUUAAUUGGGGAGCCGAGGCGGCUUUUGGUCUCCAGCUUUUCCCCCUGCAUUUUCACCGGGGCAGGAUUCUUAGAUCCUUUCAAUAUACACUUCCAGAAAAAGGGAAGCCCCGUGGUGGCCCUUGACAAGUAAAGGAAGUUGGGAAGUGAAUGAAGUGAGGUCGUCAAAGUCCUACAUUUUAGCUUUCAGUGCUGAACUUCCUUCUCCCUUAAAUUAUUAUAAACUUUUGCUGCUGUUUAAUAAACGUGAAGAUGUCUCGCAGUCCUGAUGCGAAGGAAGACCCUGUGGAGUGCCCUCUUUGCAUGGAGCCCUUGGAGAUAGAUGAUAUCAACUUUUUCCCUUGCACCUGUGGCUACCAGAUUUGCCGAUUUUGUUGGCAUCGAAUUCGCACUGAUGAAAAUGGGCUUUGUCCUGCAUGUAGAAAGCCAUAUCCAGAAGACCCAGCAGUUUAUAAACCACUCUCCC